AUUGAACGCUGGCGGCAUGCCUUACACAUGCAAGUCGAACGGCAGCAUGGAAGAGCUUGCUCUUCUGGUGGCGAGUGGCGAACGGGUGAGUAAAGCAUCGGAACGUACCGUGUAGUGGGGGAUAACGUAGCGAGAGUUACGCUAAUACCGCAUACGCACUGAGGUGGAAAGCAGGGGAUCGCAAGACCUUGCGCUCAUGGAGCGGCCGAUGGCAGAUUAGGUAGUUGGUGGGAUAAAGGCUCACCAAGCCGACGAUCUGUAGCUGGUCUGAGAGGACGACCAGCCACACUGGAACUGAGACACGGUCCAGACUCCUACGGGAGGCAGCAGUGGGGAAUUUUGGACAAUGGGCGCAAGCCUGAUCCAGCAAUGCCGCGUGCAGGAAGAAGGCCUGGUUGUAAACUGACUUUGUACGACGAAACGUCCUGGUUAAUACCC
rnacentral:rRNA from 1 species